rnacentral:rRNA from 1 species
UAGGGAAUAUUGGACAAUGGGGGCAACCCUGAUCCAGCCAUGCCGCGUGAGUGAAGAAGGCCCUCGGGUUGUAAAGCUCUUUUGUCCGGAAAGAAAAGCAUUCGGUGAAUACCCGGGUGUUCUGACGGUACCGGAAGAAUAAGCACCGGCUAACUUCGUGCCAGCAGCCGCGGUAAUACGAAGGGUGCAAGCGUUACUCGGAAUUACUGGGCGUAAAGCGUGCGUAGGUGGUUGUUUAAGUCUGAUGUGAAAGCCCUGGGCUCAACCUGGGAAUGGCAUUGGAAACUGGGCAGCUAGAGUGCGGUAGAGGGUAGUGGAAUUCCCGGUGUAGCAGUGAAAUGCGUAGAGAUCGGGAGGAACAUCUGUGGCGAAGGCGACUGCCUGGACCAGCACUGACACUGAGGCACGAAAGCGUGGGGAGCAAACA